rnacentral:rRNA from 1 species
GUUAAAAAGCUCGUAGUUGGAUCUCGGCAAGUAGAGGGCGGUAUGCUUCGUAGCAUUACUGCCCUAUUACUUGUAGUUUUGCCAGAGGUUCCUGGGUGCUCUUAAUCGAGUGUCUAGGGAUGCUGGCAGGUUUACUUUGAAAAAAUUAGAGUGCUCAAAGCAGGCUAUUACGCUUGAAUAUUCGUGCAUGGAAUAAUAGAAUAGGAAGUUGUUUCUAUUUUGUUGGCUUUCGGAAAUCGACUUAAUGAUUAACAGGGACAGUCGGGGGCAUUUGUAUUCAAACGACAGAGGUGAAAUUCUUGGACCGUUUGAAGACAAACUACUGCGAAAGCAUUUGCCAAGAAUGUUUUCAUUAAUCAAGAACGAAAGUUAGAGGUUCGAAGGCGAUUAGAUACCGCCCUAGUUCUAACCGUAAACGAUGCCAGCUAGCGAUCUGAGGACGUUUUUUUUGUAGACUCCUCAGGAAGCUUCCGGGAAACCAAAGCGUGUGGGUUCCGGGGGAAGUAUGGUUGCAGAGCUGAAACUUAAAGGAAUUGACGGAAGGGCACCACCAGGAGUGGAGCCUGCGGCUUAAUUUGACUCAACACGGGAAAUCUCACCAGGCCCGGACACUGGAAGGAUUGACAGAUUGAGAGCUCUUUCUC